ensembl:ribozyme RNase_MRP RNase MRP
GUUCGCGCUGAAGGCCUGUUUCCUAGGCUACACGGGGGACUUGUUCCUCCUCUGGUUGCCCAGGGGAAAAGUCCCGGACCUCGGGCAGAAAGUGCCACGUGCUCACGCACGUAGACCCUCCCGCCCUUCACAUUCAGCCCACUGAGAAGCAAACCCGCGUGGGACGGGGAAGCUGAGCGGCGUGUUGCGGGAUGUCACCCGUCAGCUGUCAUGGUGACGCAGGCAGUGCGCACGUAGGUGCGCACCAACCAAGCGGGGCUCAUUCUCAGGGCGGC